CAGCCGCCGCGGUAAUACGUAGGUGGCAAGCGUUGUCCGGAAUUAUUGGGCGUAAAGGGUGCGUAGGCGGACUGAUAAGUCAGGGGUGAAAUCCCAAGGCUCAACCUUGGAACUGCCUUUGAUACUGUUAGUCUUGAGUUCGAGAGAGGUGUGUGGAACUGCGAGUGUAGAGGUGAAAUUCGUAAAUAUUCGCAAGAACACCAGUGGCGAAGGCGGCUCACUGGCUCGAAACUGACGCUGAGGCACGAAAGCGUGGGGAGCAAACAGGAUUAGAUACCCCUGUAGUCCCUGUCUCUUAUAC
rnacentral:rRNA from 1 species